rnacentral:tRNA from 1 species
GUUUUUAUAGUAUAAACAGUACAUUUGACUUCCAAUCAGAAAGUUUAAUAAAAAUUAAUAAAAACA